CCUACGGGGGACAGCAGUGGGGAAUAUUGGGCAAUGGGCGCAAGCCUGACCCAGCAACGCCGCGUGAAGGAAGAAGGCCCUCCGGUUGUAAACCUCCUUUAUUCGGGACGAAACAUAUGACGGUACUGCAUUAUUAUGUCACGGCUAACAACGUGCCAGCAGCCGCGGCAAUACGUAGGAGGCAAGCGUUAUUCGGAUUUACUGGGUGUAAGGGGUGUGUAGGCGGGAGGGCAAGUCAGACGGGAAAUUCCAGGGCUCAACCCUGGAAGUGCGUUUGAAACUGGUAGUCUGGAGUAAUGGGGAGGCAGGCGGAAUUCCGGGUGUAGCGGUGAAAUGCGUAGAUAUACGGAGGAACACCGGUGGCGAAGGCAGCCUACUAGACAGUAACUGACGCUGAGGCGCGAAAGCGUGGGGAGCAAACAGGAUUAGAUACCCUAGUAGUC
rnacentral:rRNA from 1 species